CUGGUUUCUUUGUCUUAUUCUUUGUGAAUACUUAGCGAGAAGCCACAGUGGAUUUCAUAGGUUUCAAAAAUUCUUUACUUAUUUUAAUUAACACUCAAGUCCUUUGUUUAAAUGUUAAAUGCUUUUCACUUCUUCUAGCAAUAUUAUCUGCUUUUAAUAGCAGGUUGUUCUUGUGGUGGUGGUGGUUUUAAAAACAAAAAAGCAGGAAGCGGGGUCACUUGACAGAAGUAGGAGGCAAUUACAGAAGCCCUUCUAUCAGCAGGUGUGAAGGGGCAGCAACACUUGGCAGGAAGGGAGUGAGCCAGCUCUGCUCAGGUCUGCAGUUUGAAGAGGAAACGGUGAAUAAGAAUAGCACAAGAAGAUAAACAGCUACUUGGAAACAAAGUUUUCCAGCUCCCUUCCUAAUGCAAAACUUUAUAGCAAUGUGCUGUGCUGCAGUUGAAGGCAAUGUGGCUGUGACAGGUACUUUUCUAUUUUAAAGUUGACUAAGAGCAGGUAACAAGUGGCGGGGGAGUGGAGCGUGUCAAGCUGUAUAUAGGGCUCAGUGGAGAAGAUGGCAGAGCAUAAUGCAAUUUCCUGGGUAAAAGAGCUAUCAGAUCAUACACAAAAGCGUUGAUGGAAAAGCAGGUUGACCAAAACAAAUUAC
rnacentral:lncRNA from 1 species